CUUGUAGUCUCGUCAUUCACAGUGCACUGCACCUGGUGUUUCACAUUGGAUGUCUGGGCUACAACUAGGGAGAGUAGAGUUGGGAAUGGCCAGGUUAAUUGGGUAUUGCUAAUACACUGCUCCUCACGGAACCCCAUGUCUUCAGAUGGAUGGUAUUGCAUGAGGAAGAACAAGGAUUGUAAAAACAUAAACACAGAUUUCGAUCCCUGCUCUGAGACUUACAAGCUACACAGCUUUGAGCAAGUUUUUAUUCAACAGGGAAAUGAUGCUUACCUCGAAAGACCACUGUGAGCGUUAAAUAAGGUAGUUCGACUUUCAACACUUGGUUAUUUUGUACUUACUAAGAACUAUUCUCAGGUCUGAUACAAGCAAAACGAACAAAAUUCUCACUUUCAUGCCAAACUUAUUGCGUGCAGAUGGAAACAGCAAGCCGACCAGUAGACAGGUGUGAUCAGAUGAUAACACAGCAGGAAGGAAACUCAAGGAGGGUAUAAAGAAAGAGUGACUGGGGAGGAGGAGAUAGGAAAGCAGUGUAGACAUCAGGUCAGACAAGACCACUUUGAGGGGACAGAAGAUGCUUGGGUAGGAAGGCCUCGUCCGUCAUUUUUAGACUUAAGGUCUUAUUAUGCCACUCAAUUAUAGCUUGACCUUUUGGAUUGUAUGGUAUUCCAUUGAAGUAUUUAAUAUUCCAAGUUUGGAAGAAUUCUUGUAAUGAUUUGCUCACAAAGCAGGGCCCAUUGUCUGUCUUACUUGUAGGGGUGAUCCCAAAAUGGCAAAACAUUGUAGGAAAUGGCUUUCAGGAUGUCAAGCUUUUUUGCCCAAAUGAGCAGUUGCCCAACAAGCAUGUGAAUAAGUAUCUAUAGACAUAAAUAUAUAUUUUAAUUUUCCAAAAUGUGCAUAGUGGGUCACAUCAGUUUGCCAGAUGACAUUAGGUCUGAGGCCCCUAGGGUUGACCCUGGGGGAUUGAAGAGGUGGGACCUGUUUUCCCAACAGUUUUUGUAAUUCCACCAAGGUAUAGGACGACUGGAAAAGUAAUUGAGGGUUAAGGGGACAGACAGAGUCCAACCUAAGUUAAAAGGGGGUAAGGUCUGGACCUGUCAUUAGAUAUAUGUAAUCCUCCCUUCUAUAAGAGUCUGGAGUUCCUUAUAGGCGGAACCUAACGCUUUGGCAUCUGACCACAAAAAUAAUGAUGCCAUCCAUGUAAACAUAUAGAAUUAUGUCCAAUCGCCUCAGAAGGGUUUGCAGGACUUGUGAAACAAUGUUGACAAAAAGCUGGACUGUUGGCCAUUCCCUGGGGUAACACCACCCACUCAUAUCUUUGGUCUGGCCCCUGGGGAGGGAACGGAGAAGGCAAACUUCUCUCAGUCCUGGGGAUCAAGGGGAAUAGAAAAGAAGCAAUCCUUGAUAUCAAUCACAAUGAGAGUCAAAUCCCGAGGGAUGCAGGGGAUCCAGGGCAGCCCUCGCAAGGGGAUACCAACGGGAAUCAUCCACUCAUUAAUCUUUCUUAGGUCCUGUAACAUUCUCCAUUUCCCUGUGGCCUUUUGUAUUCCAAGGGCUCAGGGAGGGCCUAAUAUGCCCUAGGGACAGUUGUUCUGAUAUUAUCUCUUUUAACUUUUGUAGUUUAUCUAGGGGAAGCGGCCACUGUUCCAUACACACUGGAGGGCCUAGAAGCCAUUGAAUGGUGGGGACGGUGGGAACAGUGGCCUCUAGGAUUGGGGGUGAGGCCUCACAUGGGGUGCAGGAGUGUUCUGCCUCGAUGUCUCAAAAAGUGGAUCCCCCCGGUAAUUGCUAAGGGGACCUGAUAGGCCAAACUGUUGUUGGCACCUCUCUUCCUCUAGGAUAUGGUCAUAAAUCCCUUUGUGAUCUGUGGUGAUGAACACCUCAGCUUCCCCUAAAAUAUCCUAUCCCAGCAGAUUAUCUGUCAGGCCAGACACCACCAGAGGGCGUACCUCUCCCUGACUACCAUCUACAUCCUUCCAAAUAAGCCAAUCCUUGGUUUCUUCAGACCUUGUCACCCCCCAUCCCCCAAUAACUGAGGUCCGGGAAUCAGCUUCCAUUGUGGGGGAACCUCCUCUUUCCUUAAUACUGUCCGAUCCGCUCCAGUGUCAAUCAAGCAGUGGAUCUUUUUCCCUGCUAUGAAGAUAUCCGUUUUUG
rnacentral:lncRNA from 1 species